rnacentral:rRNA from 1 species
UUCGCCCUUAGAGUUUGAUCCUGGCUCAGGACGAACGCUGGCGGCGCGCCUAACACAUGCAAGUCGAACGGAGCUUAAAGAGCUUGCUUUUUAAGCUUAGUGGCGAACGGGUGAGUAACGCGUGAGUAACCUGCCCUGGAGUGGGGGACAACAGUUGGAAACGACUGCUAAUACCGCAUAAGCCCACGGAUUCGCAUGGAUCUGCGGGAAAAGGAUUUAUUCGCUUCAGGAUGGACUCGCGUCCAAUUAGCUAGUUGGUGAGGUAACGGCCCACCAAGGCGACGAUCAGUAGCCGGGCUGAGAGGUUGACCGGCCACAUUGGGACUGAGAUACGGCCCAGACUCCUACGGGAGGCAGCAGUGGGGAAUAUUGGGCAAUGGGCGCAAGCCUGACCCAGCAACGCCGCGUGAAGGAAGAAGGCUUUCGGGUUGUAAACUUCUUUUGUCGGGGACGAGUAGAAGACGGUACCUGGCGAAUAAGCCACGGCUAACUACGUGCCAGCAGCCGCGGUAAUACGUAGGUGGCAAGCGUUGUCCGGAUUUACUGGGUGUAAAGGGCGUGUAGCCGGGAAGGCAAGUCAGAUGUGAAAUCCACGGGCUUAACUCGUGAACUGCAUUUGAAACUACUUUUCUUGAGUAUCGGAGAGGCAAUCGGAAUUCCUAGUGUAGCGGUGAAAUGCGUAGAUAUUAGGAGGAACACCAGUGGCGAAGGCGACCUACUGGGCACCAACUGACGCUGAGGCUCGAAAGCAUGGGUAGCAAACAGGAUUAGAUACCCUGGUAGUCCAUGCCGUAAACGAUGAUUACUAGGGGUGGGAGGAUUGACCCCUUCAGUGCCGCAGUUAACACAAUAAGUAAUCCACCUGGGGAGUACGACCGCAAGGUUGAAACUCAAAGGAAUUGACGGGGGCCCGCACAAGCAGUGGAGUAUGUGGUUUAAUUCGAAGCAACGCGAAGAACCUUACCAGGUCUUGACAUCCGAUGCAUAGCGCAGAGAUGCGUGAAGUCCUUCGGGACAUCGAGACAGGUGGUGCAUGGUUGUCGUCAGCUCGUGUCGUGAGAUGUUGGGUUAAGUCCCGCAACGAGCGCAACCCUUAUUGCCAGUUACUACGUAAGAGGACUCUGGCGAGACUGCCGUUGACAAAACGGAGGAAGGUGGGGAUGACGUCAAAUCAUCAUGCCCCUUAUGUCCUGGGCUACACACGUACUACAAUGGCGUUUAACAAAGAGAAGCAAGACCGCGAGGUGGAGCAAAACUCAAAAACAACGUCUCAGUUCAGAUUGCAGGCUGCAACUCGCCUGCAUGAAGUCGGAAUUGCUAGUAAUCGCGGAUCAGCAUGCCGCGGUGAAUACGAUCCCGGGCCUUGCACACACCGCCCGUCA